AUGUGUGUAUGUACAUAUCACAUACAUGAAGGCAUACACAGGCAUGUACCUCUACACACAUAUGCAUGUACACACACACAGGCAUGCACAGGCAUGCACCCACACACACGUGGGCCUGAGCAUACACACACACACAGACAUAAACAGGCAUACAUCCCCACACAUGUGUGUGUACAUACAUACAGAGGCACACACAGGCAUGCAUUCCCACACAUGUGCAUGUAUAUACUCAGAGGCAUGCACCCCUCACACAUGUGCAUGUACACACAUACACACAGGCAUGCACAGGCAUGCACCCACACACACGUGUGCAUGUACAUACAUGCACAGGCAUGCAUCCCCCCACAUGUGCAUGUACACACACACAGGCCUGCACAGGCAUGCACCCACACACACAUGGGCAUGAGCAUACACACACACACAGACAUACACAGGCAUGCAUCCCCACACGUGUGUUUGUACAUACACACAGAGGCAUACACAGGCAUGCAUUCCCACAUGUGUGCAUGUACAUGCUCAGAGGCAUGCACCCCUCACACAUGUGCAUGUACACACACACAGGUAUGCACAGGCAUGCACCCCCACACAUGUGUGUAUGAACAUACACACAGAGAAAUACACAGGCAUGCAUCCCCACACACGUGUGCAUGUACAUAUACACUGAGGCAUGCACAGGAAUGCACCCACACACGUGUGCAUGUACAUGCACACACAGGGACAUACACAGGCAUGCAUCUCCACACACAUGUGCAUGUACACACAGGCAUACACAGGCAUGCACCAACACAUAUGUGUGUGUGUACACACAGAGGCAUAUAUAGGCAUGCACCCACACAUACGUGUGCAUGUACACACACAGAGGCAUACAUAGGCAUGCAUUCCCACACACAUGUGCAUGUACACAUAUGUGUGUAUGUACAUAGAGUCAUGCAUAGGCCUGCACAAAUGCACAUGCCUGAUGCUACAUGCAUUAAAGUUCUAAACAGCUACAUACAAAAAACUGAAUUUAUUAUUAUAAAUAGUUUUAAGAAAAAUAGGAAAGGCAAAAUGAUAUUUUUCCAACUUUUAUAA
rnacentral:lncRNA from 1 species